CGCACGACUCUCGACAACGGAUAUCUCGGCUCUCGCAUCGAUGAAGAACGUAGCGAAAUGCGAUACUUGGUGUGAAUUGCAGAAUCCCGUGAACCAUCGAGUCUUUGAACGCAAGUUGCGCCCGAAGCCAGGCUAAGGGCACGUCUGCCUGGGCGUCACGC
rnacentral:rRNA from 1 species